GAUGAACGCUAGCUACAGGCUUAACACAUGCAAGUCGAGGGGUAACGAGAGGAAAGCUUGCUUUCCUUGUCGACGACCGGCGCACGGGUGAGUAACGCGUAUCCAACCUGCCCCCAACUAGGGAAUAACCUUGCGAAAGUAAGACUAAUACCCUAUAAUUUCCUCAGAUGUCAUCUGACGAGGAAUAAAGAUUUAUCGGUUGUGGAUGGGGAUGCGUCUGAUUAGCUUGUUGGCGGGGUAACGGCCCACCAAGGCAACGAUCAGUAGGGGUUGUGAGAGGAAGGUCCCCCACAUUGGGAGUGAGACACGGUCCAAACUCCUAAGGGAGGCAGCAGUGAGGAAUAUUGGUCAAUGGGCGGAAGCCUGAACCAGCCAAGUAGCGUGCAGGAUGACGGCCCUAUGGGUUGUAAACUGCUUUUAUACAGGAAUAAAGUUAGCCACGUGUGGUUAUUUGUAGGUACUGUAUGAAUAAGGACCGGCUAAUUCCGUGCCAGCAGCCGCCGUAA
rnacentral:rRNA from 1 species